rnacentral:misc_RNA from 1 species
GUGAAGAACGCAGCGAAAUGCGAUACGUAAUGUGAAUUGCAGAAUUCAGUGAAUCAUCGAGUCUUUGAACGCACAUUGCGCCCUCUGGUAUUCCGGAGGGCAUGCCUGUCCGAGCGUCAUUGCUGCCCUCAAGCACGGCUUGUGUGUUGGGCCCCGCCCCCCGAUCCCGGGGGGCGGGCCCGAAAGGCAGCGGCGGCACCGCGUCCGGUCCUCGAGCGUAUGGGGCUUUGUCACCCGCUCUGUAGGCCCGGCCGGCGCUUGCCGAUCAACCAAACUUUUUUCCAGGUUGACCUCGGAUCAGGUAGGGAUACCCGCUGAACUUAAGCAUAUCAAUAAGCGGAGGA